rnacentral:misc_RNA from 1 species
AAUUCUUUCCUCUUUUGUGUUCUUCUUCUUCCCCGCUACUAUCUUUGUACUAUUCUCGUCAGAAUUAAUGUUAGCUCAGGUCUGUUUUACAGUCCCACUCAUCUGUUCCAUGUUAAAAUUUUCUCUAUCAGGACGACUUACCUGGUCCAAUGUCACUGAAUCAUAAAAACGAAAAUUAAACAAGUGCAAUUAAUGGUCUCUGUGAAAGAGCCAAUUCGAGAAUGGAGAAUUUUUGCUUCUGGCUCUGUGACUGUGUUCGUCUUCGAAUAAGCGCGGGAUUGAUGUGGAAGGGAUCUGUUUCAUUAAUUGUGAAAAAAAUAUAUGUAUGCAUCGAGAACGCAGCCCAAGUCAUUGAUAAUGGAGAAAAUAGAAACAAGCCCUUUUCUUCGCAUUGUUCUCUCCAAUCCUCAAGGCGGAGAAUGCUGAGCUAGACGCGACAAAGUUCCAAAACAUAUGCUGGCCAAAGGACGGCCAAGUAUACCCUUGCCUUCACAUUUCUUAUAUGAUCAAACAAUUUGUUGCCAACCCUUAAUGCCAUUUUACUUUUCCUUUUUCUUUUCUAUGUCACCUAGCAAUCACAGCUUCACUUCUCCACGAAAAGUUGAGGAUUUUGAGAGAUGGGUUGUGUUCUUACCAAGAGAUCCACCACCUCCCCUCUUAAUCAGAGACUAGAAAAUUUGAAGCAGGAACGAGGUUAUGUUGGCAGACCUAAUAAUGGGCGGGGUGAUCCUGUAGGGAAGUUGUUUAGGCAAGACGCAGACAACAAAAGGGUGGUAGUCCUAAAUGGAGUCGGGGAGAAAUUGGUUACUAGAGAAGGAGCAAAGAAUGAUGGUGUUAGAAAUGUCUCGCAAAGAUUUACUUCGAAGAAGAUUGGCGGAGAUGAGCUUGUGGAUGGAUGGCCUAAGUGGCUUGUUGAUAACAUCCCCACAGAAGUUUUGGCUGGUUUGGUCCCAAAGAGUGCCGAUUCUUAUGAUAAGCUAGCAAAGAUAGGCCAAGGAACUUACAGCAAUGUGUAUAAAGCCAGAGAUAGAGACACUGGGAAGAUUGUUGCUUUAAAGAAGGUUCGGUUCGACACAUCGGAGUCUGAGAGUAUUAAGUUUAUGGCAAGAGAGAUAAUGAUACUACAGAAGCUAGAUCAUCCUAAUGUCAUCAAGCUAGAAGGACUAGCCACAUCAAGGAUGCAAUACAGUCUUUACCUUGUCUUCGAUUUCAUGCAAUCUGAUCUAACUAGAAUCAUCUCCCGUCCAGGCCAGAGGCUAACUGAACCACAGGUUAAAUGCUAUAUGCAUCAACUGCUUUCAGGCCUCCAGCACUGUCAUGAGAGGGGAAUUCUACAUCGAGACAUUAAAGCUUCCAACUUAUUGAUAGACAAAGAUGGGAGGCUAAAAAUUGCUGAUUUUGGGCUUGCUAAUUUCUUCAUUCCUAAACCAAAAAGACCCCUUACAAGUAGGGUGGUAACACUCUGGUAUAGAGCUCCAGAGCUGCUGUUGGGUUCUACAGAUUAUGGAGUGGGCAUUGAUCUGUGGAGUGCAGGAUGCCUGUUAGCUGAAAUGUUCAUUGGCAGGCCAAUUAUGCCUGGAAGGACAGAGGUUGAGCAACUUCACAGGAUUUUCAAGCUUUGUGGCUCACCACCAGAGGAUUACUGGAAGAUAAUGAGACUACCAACAAGUUUCAGACCACCACAACAUUAUAAACCUAGUUUUCAAGAAGCUUUCAGGCAUUUUCCUGAUUCUUCCUUUGGUCUCCUGACCACACUUCUCGCUCUGAACCCAGCAUAUCGUGGUACUGCUACUUCUGCUCUUCAAAGUCAGUUCUUCACUUCAAGCCCAUUGGCGUGCGAGCUUUCAGGUCUACCAGUAAUACACAGAGAGAAGGAUGAACCAACUCAAGCUAAUGAUCGGAAGAAGCGCAAGAAAUCAAGAAAAACCUCUCGAGAUGGUCAUGAAGGCCAUGGGAGGAGGAGCUUGAGUACUAUACAACCCAAAGAAGACACUGAAUCUUCUAAAGAGGUAAGAAUCAUUCCUCAAUUACUUUCUUUCCUAACAAUUAGUUUAUCACAAAAACAGGAUUCUAUUUUGUUUAGCUAAGAAUAUCAUCAAUCUAAAGAAGGAAAAGAAAAAUAAUCUCAUAUCCACAAAUUAAAAUCAACCCCUCUGCCAUUAGGCUACUAGUCUAGUGAUCAAAUGCAAGUUCUUCAAUCUUUUGUUGUAGUUGGAGAGGUGCUCAGAGUCCAACACGAGUGGGCAAGAAACAGGAAACAGUGCAAGUAGUAGCACUUCUUCUGGUUUAAUAGCUAUCAGGGAAGAGCAAAAACUACGUCCAUCAUUUUCUCCUGGUCGCCCUUCUCGCCAGAACAGAAAAAUGAGAACAGAGGCUCAUCCUAAUGCAAUGAGGAAUAUCCAAAACUUCACCCUUUUACAGGCCUCUAUAACAGAUAUCAUCAACCACAAUGCAGGAGGAGGCAAUGGAAUGCCUGGUUAUCGUAGGUCUAUUUCUACGUUGGACCUUCGUACUCUUGAUCCAGACAAGAUUUCAGAACUCUUUGGAUUGGAUAAAAAUUAAGCUAUUCUUGAUCAUUGAUCAUGUAUGUGCAAGCAACUACUUAAUUAAAUUACCAAUGCGGUCUUAUAAAGAUGUGUGUGUGCAUGCGCGCCUGCACGUGCUACUUGUUUGGUUUUGUACUUAAAUGUAGAGAUUCAAUUGCAAUAAGGAGUUGGUCAUGAUUGUUUAUUUUAAAUGUAUUAUAUUUUUAUCCUAAAUGCAUUAUCUUG